UACGGGGGGGGCAAGCGUUGUUCGGAAUUACUGGGCGUAAAGGGCUCGUAGGCGGCCAACUAAGUCGGAUGUGAAAUCCCCAGGCUUAACCUGGGAACUGCAUCCGAUACUGGAUGGCUUGAAUCCGGGAGAGGGAUGCGGAAUUCCAGGUGUAGCGGUGAAAUGCGUAGAUAUCUGGAGGAACACCGGUGGCGAAGGCGGCAUCCUGGACCGGCAUUGACGCUGAGGAGCGAAAGCGUGGGGAGCGAACCGG
rnacentral:rRNA from 1 species